rnacentral:rRNA from 1 species
ACGCUCGACACCUACGGGAGACAGCAGUGGGGAAUAUUGCACAAUGGGGGAAACCCUGAUGCAGCGACGCCGCGUGAGCGAAGAAGUAUUUCGGUAUGUAAAGCUCUAUCAGCAGGGAAGAAACUGACGGUACCUGACUAAGAAGCACCGGCUAAAUACGUGCCGCAGCCGCGGUAAUCUGAGCGGGCUGGCAAGGC